UGGGUCUCAUUGGGGUCUAAACGUGACUCGGGAUUGCCGAUUUUUUGUAAGCGUGACACGUGAAAGUCAAAUUAUUGUGUCGGGAAAACGGGAAAUGAGGUCUAGCGGGACCCGGGAAAUGACAAAAAAUGAGAAUUGCUUACGUACAUAGUGUAAGCGGAAUACGGGAAUCUGACAAAACAGAAAGCGGGAUCCGGGAUCGGAACCCCCAAUGAGACCCCCA
rnacentral:lncRNA from 1 species